AUGAACGCUAGCUACAGGCUUAACACAUGCAAGUCGAGGGGCAGCAUUUUAGUUUGCUUGCAAACUAAAGAUGGCGACCGGCGCACGGGUGAGUAACACGUAUCCAACCUGCCGAUAACUCGGGGAUAGCCUUUCGAAAGAAAGAUUAAUAUCCGAUAGUAUAUUAAAACCGCAUGGUUUUACUAUUAAAGAAUUUCGGUUAUCGAUGGGGAUGCGUUCCAUUAGUUUGUUGGCGGGGUAACGGCCCACCAAGACUACGAUGGAUAGGGGUUCUGAGAGGAAGGUCCCCCACAUUGGAACUGAGACACGGUCCAAACUCCUACGGGAGGCAGCAGUGAGGAAUAUUGGUCAAUGGACGAGAGUCUGAACCAGCCAAGUAGCGUGAAGGAUGACUGCCCUAUGGGUUGUAAACUUCUUUUAUAUGGGAAUAAAGUAUUCCACGUGUGGAAUUUUGUAUGUACCAUAUGAAUAAGGAUCGGCUAACUCCGUGCCAGCAGCCGCGGUAAUACGGAGGAUCCGAGCGUUAUCCGGAUUUAUUGGGUUUAAAGGGAGCGUAGGUGGAUUGUUAAGUCAGUUGUGAAAGUUUGCGGCUCAACCGUAAAAUUGCAGUUGAAACUGGCAGUCUUGAGUACAGUAGAGGUGGGCGGAAUUCGUGGUGUAGCGGUGAAAUGCUUAGAUAUCACGAAGAACUCCGAUUGCGAAGGCAGCUCACUAGACUGCAACUGACACUGAUGCUCGAAAGUGUGGGUAUCAAACAGGAUUAGAUACCCUGGUAGUCCACACAGUAAACGAUGAAUACUCGCUGUUUGCGAUAUACAGUAAGCGGCCAAGCGAAAGCAUUAAGUAUUCCACCUGGGGAGUACGCCGGCAACGGUGAAACUCAAAGGAAUUGACGGGGGCCCGCACAAGCGGAGGAACAUGUGGUUUAAUUCGAUGAUACGCGAGGAACCUUACCCGGGCUUAAAUUGCAUUUGAAUAAUCUGGAAACAGGUUAGCCGCAAGGCAAAUGUGAAGGUGCUGCAUGGUUGUCGUCAGCUCGUGCCGUGAGGUGUCGGCUUAAGUGCCAUAACGAGCGCAACCCUUAUCUUUAGUUACUAACAGGUCAUGCUGAGGACUCUAGAGAGACUGCCGUCGUAAGAUGUGAGGAAGGUGGGGAUGACGUCAAAUCAGCACGGCCCUUACGUCCGGGGCUACACACGUGUUGCAAUGGGGGGUACAGAAGGCAGCUACCUGGCGACAGGAUGCUAAUCCCAAAAACCUCUCUCAGUUCGGAUCGAAGUCUGCAACCCGACUUCGUGAAGCUGGAUUCGCUAGUAAUCGCGCAUCAGCCAUGGCGCGGUGAAUACGUUCCCGGGCCUUGUACACACCGCCCGUCAAGCCAUGAAAGCCGGGGGUACCUGAAGUACGUAACCGCAAGGAGCGUCCUAGGGUAAAACUGGUAAUUGGGGCU
rnacentral:rRNA from 1 species